rnacentral:snoRNA from 1 species
GUGCUGUGCAUUAAAAAACUCUGCCUCAGAAGUACACCCCUCCCACCUCCCUGCCAGAAAAGCGUUGGCUGCAGACAGCGGCCUCCUGGAUAGUGUACACAGCCUCUUCCUUGUAUAGGUUGAUCUAAGGGACCUAGGAGACAAAG